UUUUGGGGUUCCUGGGUGUCACACAGAUCUCGGUGGAACCUCCAAAUGAAAGAACCUAGUGGGGAAACCCCCACUCAUGUCUCAAGUCGGCGUGCAUCUAAGGAAUCACGAGAGACC
rnacentral:pre_miRNA from 7 species